GACGAACCGUGCAAACGUUAUUCGGAAUCACUGGGCUUAAAGGGCGCGUAGGCGGGCUGUCAAGUCAGAGGUGAAAUCCCACAGCUUAACUGUGGAAGUGCCCCUGAUACUGACGGCCUCGAGGGAGGUAGGGGCGUGUGGAACUUCCGGUGGAGCGGUGAAAUGCGUAGAUAUCGGAAGGAACGCCGGUGGCGAAAGCGACACGCUGGCCCUCUUCUGACGCUGAGGAGCGAAAGCGUGGGGAGCGAACAGG
rnacentral:rRNA from 1 species